GGAUCUCCCCUCAUGAGUGAAGCACAGAUUUGGGAUGAGCUUGCCCUCCACGUCCGGAAUAACGAAACACAACUACAUUUAGGGAGACGAAUGCCAAAGGGCCUCAGACCUGGCUACAGAGAUAAACAUAUACACAGAGAUUAAACAGAUGCAUGGCUGCAGAGAGACCUUACUCAGUAAAAUGCUUACAGCUCAAACAUGAGGACCCACAUUCAAUAUCCAGAACACACAGAAGCUGGGCAUGGGCACAGAAACAGUCCAGUCCCUGGCUCCUGGGUCAGCCAUCCUCUUCUUCUUGAUGUGUUCCAUGUUACUGAGAGUCCCUGCCUCAAAAAUGCAAGGCAUGUUUGUGAGUGCCGGUACGCGUGGAGGACAGAGGGCAGCUCCUAAGAGGAGGUCCUCUCCUCUACCUUGUGAGCUCAAGUCUCCAGGCCUGUGCGCAAGAAGCUCUAUGCCCGAGACACUUCUCUGUUUCUGUCUCUCAAUUUUGGAUUAAUUUCUCUACACCUUUGUGGCAUAACCUUCCUGGUCAUCAGACAACUAGCAAAAUCCCAGCUGAUUCAUGUGUGCACGUGUGGGUUCUGCAUAGGUUCCCAUGCCUGAGGUCAGCCCAGGAGGCCAGAAGAGGGCUUUGGAUCCUAAGCAACUGAAAU
rnacentral:lncRNA from 1 species